rnacentral:rRNA from 1 species
AAUAUUGGACAAUGGGGGCAACCCUGAUCCAGCCAUGCCGCGGGGGUGAAGAAGGUCUCCGGAGUGUAAAGCACUCUAAGUUGGGAGGAAGGGCUUUAGGCCAAUACCCUGAAGUUUUGAUGUUACCGACAGAAUAAGCACCGGCUAACUUCGUGCCAGCAGCCGCAGUAAUACGAAGGGUGCAAGGGUUAAUAGGAAUUACUGGGCGUAAAGAGCGUGGAGGUGGUGUGUUGAGUUGUAAGUGAAAGACCCGGGCGCAACAUGGGAACUGCUUUGAUGACUGCUGAGCUAGUGUACGGUAGAGGAGAGUGGAAUAUCCUGUGUAGCGGUGAGAUACGUAGAGAUAGGAAGGAACACCAGUGGCGAAGGCGACUACCUGGACUGAUACUGACACUGAGGUGCGAGAGCGUGGGGAGCAAAC